AAGUGCCAGACUAUAGCUUUAAAAGUAAUCAUUGCAUUUGGAAGAUGUGCUCUCUUCACGAAUCUUCACUAGAUUAAAAGCACUUUAAGAUCGAGCUCUCUCCUCCAUCAGAUCUUCGCUGGUUCUGUGGUUUAAAGCUCUCAGCGCGGGGAAGGGGAGGAGACACACACACACACACACACACACACACACACACACACGCACAUCAGCUCCGUUCCUCCGUUCGCGAGUAACCGGGCAGGAGGAGGCGAGCGCGAUCAGACCUCCAGGUGUGUGUAGAUGUAUGUGUGUGUUCCAGUCACACCUGGAUGCAUCAUGUGAUCAGAUACCUGGGCGUGGAGCUAGCGUUCAGUGUGUUCAUAGUUAACGGGAAUCCCGGAACCGCAGAUCUCUUGUCGCUCCGCGCGUGAACUUUCCGUGCACCGGGAAUCUAUUCCUCUCAAUCUAAAGGGAAUCCGCGGUCUGGACGCUGCCGAGAUUUUCCCACUCAUCUUCCUCUGGGGCGGCAAACUGUAAGGGGGCGGUGUCUGCCAGGGUUGUGGAGGGUAUCGGUGCCAGCUGUCGGAUCUGUGGAGUGCCGCCAAGCGCUGAUUUCUCUCUGCCCGCACUUACAGCCCCAGCAUUCGGUUUGUUUGUUUAUUCAUUUGCGUUCAGGAGCCCGGAUGUUGGUGAAGUGGGCAUCUGUUGCAUUUCUCUCGCUCUGCCCUCUACAGUUUGUUUAGAUGCAAAAGGGCUGCUGGGUAAUGAAGGCCAC
rnacentral:lncRNA from 12 species